rnacentral:rRNA from 1 species
GUCGUAACAAGGUCUCCGUAGGUGAACCUGCGGAGGGAUCAUUACACAAAUAUGAAGGCGGGCUGAACCUCUCGGGGUUACAGCCUUGCUGAAUUAUUCACCCUUGUCUUUUGCGUACUUCUUGUUUCCUUGGUGGGUUCGCCCACCACUAGGACAAACAUAAACCUUUUGUAAUUGCAAUCAGCGUCAGUAACAAAUUAAUAAUUACAACUUUCAACAACGGAUCUCUUGGUUCUGGCAUCGAUGAAGAACGCAGCGAAAUGCGAUAAGUAGUGUGAAUUGCAGAAUUCAGUGAAUCAUCGAAUCUUUGAACGCACAUUGCGCCCUUUGGUAUUCCAAAGGGCAUGCCUGUUCGAGCGUCAUUUGUACCCUCAAGCUUUGCUUGGUGUUGGGCGUCUUGUCUCUAGCUUUGCUGCAGACUCGCCUUAAAGUAAUUGGCAGCCGGCCUACUGGUUUCGGAGCGCAGCACAAGUCGCACUCCCUAUCAGCAAAGGUCUAGCAUCCAUUAAGCCUUUUUUUCAACUUUUGACCUCGGAUCAGGUAGGGAUACCCGCUGAACUUAAGCAUAUCA